rnacentral:misc_RNA from 1 species
AAGUCGUAACAAGGUCUCCGUUGGUGAACCAGCGGAGGGAUCAUUACAGAGAAUCUCUUCUCCAACCAUGGCGAACGCAACGACGCUCCUCGGCGGGGCGGCCCCCGCGGCCGCGCCGCCGGAGAGCCCCAACAGACGCUGUAUUGUUCGUGGCUUCUCUGAGUAUGAUUGUCGCAAUCAGUCAAAACUUUCAACAACGGAUCUCUUGGCUCUG